UCAAGCUACAAAGAGCACAAGGGGAAUGCCUUGGCACCGAGAGCCGAAGAAGGACGUGACUAACUGCGAUAAGCUGCGGGGAGCCGUAAGUAGGCUUUGAUCCGCAGAUUUCCGAAUGGAGCAAUCCGGCAAGAGGAAAGUCUUGUCAUCAUAUACUGAAUACAUAGGUAUAUGAGGGGAACCGCCUGAACUGAAACAUCUAAGUAGGGCGAGGAAGAGAAAUCAACUGAGAUUCCGUAAGUAGUGGCGAGCGAACGCGGAAGAGGCCAAACCGAGAGUAGUAAUACUUUCGGGGUUCGGACAGAAAACGGUAUUGUAAAGGUUUAGUGGAAUGGAAUGGGAAGUCCAACCGAAGAAGGUGAGAGUCCUGUACACGAAAAGCCUGAACAGCCAUCUGUAUCCAGAGUACCGCCGGACACGUGAAACCCGGUGGGAAUACGGGGGGACCAUCCUCCAAGCCUAAAUACUACUCGGUGACCGAUAGUGAAGAAGUACUGUGAAGGAAAGGUGAAAAGUACCCCUGACGGGGAGUGAAAAAGAACCUGAAACCUUGUGUUUACAAGCACCGAAAGCUCAUCAAAGAGCGAUCGGGUACCUUUUGUAGAAUGGUCCGGCGAGUGAAUGUAACCGGCGAGGUUAAGCACUUAAGGUGUGAAGCCGCAGCGAGAGCAAGUCUGAAUAGGGCGUAUGAAGUCGGUUGUAUUCGACCCGAAACCGGGUGACCUACCCAUGGUCAGGUUGAAGUAAAGGUAAAACUUUAUGGAGGACCGAACCGACUCCCGUUGAAAUGGUAGCGGAUGAACUGUGGGUAGCGGAGAAAUUCCAAUCGAACCCGGAGAUAGCUGGUUCUCUCCGAAAUAGCUUUAGGGCUAGCCUUGAAAUAGAUUACUGGAGGUAAAGCACUGAAUUGGCUAGGGGCCGAAAGGUUACUGAACCUUAUCAAACUCAGAAUGCCAGAUAAUCGUUUUUCAGGAGUCAGACAGUGGGAGAUAAGUUUCAUUGUCAAAAGGGAAACAGCCCAGACCCACAGCUAAGGUCCCCAAGUAUAGUUAAGUGGAAAAGGAUGUGGAAUUGCACAGACAACCAGGAUGUUGGCUUAGAAGCAGCCACUCAUUAAAAGAGUGCGUAAUAGCUCACUGGUCGAGUGACUCUGCGCCGAAAAUUUAACGGGGCUAAACUAUACACCGAAGCUUGGGAUACAUCUAAUGUAUGGUAGGAGAGCGUUCUGUAUGGGGAGAAGUCGUAGCGAAAGCGGCGGUGGACUAUACAGAAGUGAGAAUGCCGGAAUAAGUAGCGAGAAUUAAGUGAGAAUCUUAAUGGCCGAAAGUCUAAGGUUUUUGGAGGAAGGUUCGUCCGCUCCAAGUAAGUCGGGAGCUAAGGUCAGGCCGAAAGGCGUAGCCGAUGCACAUACGGUUGAUAUUCCGUAACCAUCUGUAAUUUAAGCAAAGGGACACUUCAAAAGGGUGUGACCCGGGCGUUGGUUGACCCGGGCGUAAGGGACCGAAAUUAGAGUAGGGAAGCACACUUAGCUGAAGGCGAGAAAAGCUUUGCGUAUAGAAACAGAUGCCCGUACCGCAAACCGACACAGGUGGACAGGAAGAGAAUUCUAAGGCCAGCGGGAGAAGGGUAGUUAAGGAACUCGGCAAAUUGACUCCGUAACUUCGGGAAAAGGAGUGCUCUCGAGAGAGAGCCGCAGUGAAUAGGCCCAGGCGACUGUUUAGCAAAAACACAGGUCUCUGCCAAAUCGAAAGAUGAAGUAUAGGGGCUGACACCUGCCCGGUGCCGGAAGGUUAAGAGGAGGAGUGAGAGCUCCGAAUUGAAGCCCCGGUAAACGGCGGCCGUAACUAUAACGGUCCUAAGGUAGCGAAAUUCCUUGUCGGGUAAGUUCCG
rnacentral:rRNA from 1 species